UUAAAAUUUUUUUAGGACAAUUUUGAACUAAGUUAAGUAAAAUAAAUAGGGUUCUGGUGCGAUCUCGGCAACGCGGCAAAUGUAUGGCCUAGGUCGUUUGCUUGGGGGACGGCCUUAACCGUAAAUUCUAUACA